UACGUAGGGGGCAAGCGUUGUUCGGAAUUACUGGGCGUAAAGGGCGCGUAGGCGGCCUGCUAAGUCGAACGUGAAAUCCCCGGGCUCAACCCGGGAACUGCGUCCGAUACUGGCAGGCUUGAAUCCGGGAGAGGGAUGUGGAAUUCCAGGUGUAGCGGUGAAAUGCGUAGAUAUCUGGAGGAACACCGGUGGCGAAGGCGGCAUCCUGGACCGGCAUUGACGCUGAGGCGCGAAAGCCAGGGGAGCAAACGGG
rnacentral:rRNA from 1 species